UUUGAUCCUGGCUCAGGACGACCGCUGCCGGCGUGCCUAAUACAUGCAAGUCGAGCAAGUCCCUUCGGGGGCUAGCGGCGGACGGGUGAGUUAACAGCGUAGGCAACCUCCUCUCAGACUGGGAUAACAUAGGGAAACCUCUGCUAAUACCGGAUAGGUUUUGGGAUCGCAUGAUUGAAAAGAAAAGAUGCCUGUUCGCAUAUCACUGGGAGAUGGGCCUGCGGCGCAUUAGCUAGUUGGUGGGGUAACGGCCUACCAAGGCGACGAUGCGUAGCCGACAUGAGAGGGUGACCGGCCACACUGGGAGUGAGACACGGCCCAGACUCAUACGGGAGGCAGCAGUAGGGAAUUUUCCACAAUGGACGAAAGUCUGAUGGAGCAACGCCGCGUGAACGAUGAAGGUCUUCGGAUGGUAAAGUUCUGUGUCAGGGACGAACA
rnacentral:rRNA from 1 species